rnacentral:misc_RNA from 1 species
GAUGAAGAACGCAGCGAAAUGCGAUAAGUAAUGUGAAUUGCAGAAUUCAGUGAAUCAUCGAAUCUUUGAACGCACCUUGCACCCUUUGGCAUUCCGAAGGGUAUGCUCGUUUGAGUGUCAUUGUACUCUCACUCUCCCGAUGCUUUUGGAUCGGGAGUGGCGGACUUGGGUGUUGCUGCUUUGCUGUGGCUCGCCUCAAAUGGAGUAGUGCAACUCUUGGUUGGACAUAGUACGGCGUGAUAAGUGUCUUCGCCGGCGCCUCAUUAUAGAGGGUGGCCGAUCGGGAGCUCUGUGCUUCAAACCGUCUUCGGACAACAUCUGACAACUUGACCUCAAAUCGAGUAGGACUACCCGCUGAACUUAAGCAUAUCAAUAAGCGGAGGA